GAGUUCCCUUCGGGGACAUUGGUGACAGGUGGUGCAUGGUUGUCGUCAGCUCGUGUCGUGAGAUGUUGGGUUAAGUCCCGCAACGAGCGCAACCCUUGUCGUUAGUUGCCAUCAUUAAGUUGGGCACUCUAGAGAGACUGCCAGGGAUAACCUGGAGGAAGGUGGGGAUGACGUCAAAUCAUCAUGCCCCUUAUGCUUAGGGCUACACACGUGCUACAAUGGGUAGUA
rnacentral:rRNA from 1 species